ACUUGGUAUGAAUAAAGUCUCACUUGGUCAAGUCUCAAAGUCUCUGUACUGAAAGUGUGCGAGAGAGAGAUAUCACUGCUACUUUCUGGCUUCUGGGUGUACUGAGAUUCAAUUUGGUUGCUUCAUUUGGAGAAGAUCGAAAUUAAAGCUCAAUACAGAGUUGCAGUUAGAUUGGAGAAGAACCUUAAUCAGACUCAUCUUUAGCUGAGUUUCCUCACAAAAUAACACUGGCAAUGGAUGUUGCUGCUUCUGUUACGGCUAAUAUACUGACCAAGUUAGUAGAUGAAGCAAUACUUCAAGCUUGCUAUCCUUUCCGCUUCA